UACGUAGGGUGCGAGCGUUAAUCGGAAUUACUGGGCGUAAAGCGUGCGCAAGCGGUCUGUUAAGACCGAUGUGAAAUCCCCGGGCUUAACCUGGGAACUGCAUUGGUGACUGGCAGGCUUUGAGUGUGGCAGAGGGAGGUAGAAUUCCACGUGUAGCAGUGAAAUGCGUAGAGAUGUGGAGGAAUACCGAUGGCGAAGGCAGCCUCCUGGGCCAACACUGACGCUCAUGCACGAAAGCGUGGGGGAGCAAACAGG
rnacentral:rRNA from 1 species